GACGAACGCUGGCGGCGCGCCUAACACAUGCAAGUCGAACGAGCGAGAGAGAGCUUGCUUUCUCGAGCGAGUGGCGAACGGGUGAGUAACGCGUGAGGAACCUGCCUCAAAGAGGGGGACAACAGUUGGAAACGACUGCUAAUACCGCAUAAGCCCACGGCUCGGCAUCGAGCAGAGGGAAAAGGAGUAAUCCGCUUUGAGAUGGCCUCGCGUCCGAUUAGCUAGUUGGUGAGGUAACGGCCCACCAAGGCGACGAUCGGUAGCCGGACUGAGAGGUUGAACGGCCACAUUGGGACUGAGACACGGCCCAGACUCCUACGGGAGGCAGCAGUGGGGAAUAUUGCACAAUGGGGGAAACCCUGAUGCAGCGACGCCGCGUGGAGGAAGAAGGUCUUCGGAUUGUAAACUCCUGUUGUUGGGGAAGAUAAUGACGGUACCCAACAAGGAAG
rnacentral:rRNA from 1 species